UACGUAGGGUGCGAGCGUUGUCCGGAAUUACUGGGCGUAAAGAGCUCGUAGGUGGUUUGUCGCGUCGUCUGCGAAAUUCCGGGGCUUAACUUCGGGCGUGCAGGCGAUACGGGCAAUACUUGAGUGCUGUAGGGGAGACUGGAAUUCCUGGUGUAGCGGUGGAAUGCGCAGAUAUCAGGAGGAACACCGAUGGCGAAGGCAGGUCUCUGGGCAGUAACUGACGCUGAGGAGCGAAAGUAUGGGUAGCGAACAGGAUUAGAUA
rnacentral:rRNA from 1 species